rnacentral:rRNA from 1 species
UACGGUGGAUGCGAGCGUUAUCCGGAUUUAUUGGGUUUAAAGGGAGCGUAGGUGGAUUGUUAAGUCAGCUGUGAAAGUCCGCGGCUCAACCGUGGAAUUGCAGUUGAAACUGGAGGCCUUGAGUGCACACAGGGGUGCCGGAAUUCAUGGUGUAGCGGUGAAAUGCAUAGAUAUCACGCAGAACGCCGAUUGCGAAGGCAGCAUACCGGCGCCCAACUGACGCUGAGGCACGAAAGCGUGGGGAUCGAACAGG